rnacentral:tRNA from 1 species
UGCGGGAUUGUGUAACGGUAGCACAUGCGGCUCUGACCCGCACAGUCUAGGUUCGAACCCUAGUCCCGCAGCCA